rnacentral:rRNA from 1 species
UGGGGAAUCUUGCACAAUGGGCGGAAGCCUGAUGCAGCGACGCCGCGUGGGGGAUGACGGCCUUCGGGUUGUAAACUCCUUUCGCCAGGGACGAAGCCGUGAGGUGACGGUACCUGGAUAAGAAGCACCGGCUAACUACGUGCCAGCAGCCGCGGUAAUACGUAGGGUGCGAGCGUUGUCCGGAAUUACUGGGCGUAAAGAGCUCGUAGGUGGUUUGUCGCGUCGUCUGUGAAAUUCCGGGGCUUAACUCCGGGCGUGCAGGCGAUACGGGCAUAACUUGAGUGCUGUAGGGGAGACUGGAAUUCCUGGUGUAGCGGUGAAAUGCGCAGAUAUCAGGAGGAACACCGAUGGCGAAGGCAGGUCUCUGGGCAGUAACUGACGCUGAGGAGCGAAAGCAGGGGUAGCGAACAGG